rnacentral:misc_RNA from 1 species
AAGUCGUAACAAGGUUUCCGUUGGUGAACCAGCGGAAGGAUCAUUACAGAGUUCAUGCCCUCACGGGUAGAUCUCCCACCCUUGAAUAACAUACAUUGUUGCUUUGGCGGACGCUUCGGCAGCCGCCAGAGAACCCUAAACUCUUGUUUACAGUGUCGUCUGAGUACUAUAUAAUAGUUAAAACUUUCAACAACGGAUCUCUUGGUUCUG